rnacentral:rRNA from 1 species
CAGCCGCCGCGGUAAUACCGGCGGCCCGAGUGGCGGUCACUAUUAUUGGGCUUAAAGCGUCCGUAGCCGGGGUGGGAAGUCCUCCGGGAAAUCUGGCCGCUUAACGGUCAGAAUGCCGGAGGAUACUCCCAGCCUAGGGAGCGGGAGAGGCCGAGGGUAUUCCCGGAGGAGGGGUGAAAUCCUAUAAUCCCGGGAGGACCACCUGUGGCGAACGCGCUCGGCUGGAACGCGUCCGACGGUGAGGGACGAAGGCCAGGGGAGCAAACCGGAUUAGAUACCCGGGUAGUCCUGGCUGUAAACGAUGCGGACUUUGUGUCGGACAAGCUAUGAGCUUGUCCGGUGCCGGAGGGAAACCGUUAAGUCCGCCGCCUGGGGAGUACGGCCGCAAGGCUGAAACUUAAAGGAAUUGGCGGG